UGGGGAAUAUUGGACAAUGGGCGCAAGCCUGAUCCAGCCAUGCCGCGUGAGUGAUGAAGGCCCUAGGGUUGUAAAGCUCUUUCAGCGAGGAGGAUAAUGACGUUACUCGCAGAAGAAGCCCCGGCUAACUUCGUGCCAGCAGCCGCGGUAAUACGAAGGGGGCUAGCGUUGUUCGGAAUCACUGGGCGUAAAGCGCACGUAGGCGGACUUUUAAGUCAGGGGUGAAAUCCCGGGGCUCAACCUCGGAACUGCCUUUGAUACUGGAAGUCUGGAGUCCGAGAGAGGUGAGUGGAACUCCGAGUGUAGAGGUGAAAUUCGUAGAUAUUCGGAAGAACACCAGUGGCGAAGGCGGCUCACUGGCUCGGUACUGACGCUGAGGUGCGAAAGCGUGGGGAGCAAAACAGGAUUAGAUACCCUGGUAGUCCACGCCGUAAACGAUGGAAGCUAGCCGUCAGGGUGCAUGCAUCUUGGUGGCGCAGUUAACGCAUUAAGCUUCCCGCCUGGGGAGUACGGUCGCAAGAUUAAAAACUU
rnacentral:rRNA from 1 species